UGGUCAUCGUGAGGUUUGCUUUUUGUUCUGUUUACCAUACCCAUUUCUACUUUUCUAUUGUUCCGUCUCCAACCUCUUCUUAGCUUUUUCUUUUCGUUCGCUUCUUUCUCUCCAUUCUCACUUUCUGCUUAUUUUCGAACCUAUCUUUUUUUCUCUUCCACGGUAGUGUUCUUCCAGUGAGUUUUGCGUUUUUUCCAAUGUAUCUGAUUUAAUGGAUUUUGUCUUAAAUUUUCUUUUCUUUUUCAUUUUGGGGGUUUGAUAUAUGCGCUUAUUUAGUUUCAGGAAACGCUCAUGUCCCAAUUUUGGGGAUUUCAUGUGCAACUUUGCAAGCCCUUUGUGUUCAAGGAAAUGUUUGUCUUUGUUUUUUGGAAAUUUUGUAUAUGCGUUUGCAAACCAUUUGUGCUUCAGGAGUCACUCACCAAGACAUUGUAGGGCACGAGGUUACAAUUCGGACUCAGGAUAUGCAGGUUAAUUUGGACCUGGGCAACUAUGAAUGCUUCCUAGAUGUGACUCUUAAGAGGGAUAACAACAUUACCACUGACAAGAUAUAUCAGGAGGGAGACAUCAUCAGUUGCUGGAAUCAUUAACCCCGGUUCAGAGGGAUUUCAGAAGCUAUUUUUCGGUCAAGAGGAAAUCGCCAUAGUGGCCAGUGCACUCAAACAUUGAAGCAUCAUGCGCCGCACAUCCUACUACUGAUGUCUUAAUCAACUUUGCUUCAUAUAGAAGUGCUGCUGCUUCUUCCAUAGCUACUCUCAAGCAACCAACCAUUAGAGUUGUGGCAAUCAUUGCUGAAGGUAUACCUGAGUCAGACACUAAGCAAUUGAUUGCAUAUGCAUUGGCAAACAACAAGGUUGUCAUUGGCCCAGCUAUUGUUGGAGGAAUUUAAGCUGGAGCUUUUAAGAUUGGUGACACUGCUGGAACAAUUGAUAACAUUAUUCACUACAAGCUAUACAAGCCUAGAUCUGUUGGUUUUGUCUCCAAAUUUGUAUGUAGCUAAUCCAAUAUCUUGAACUUCAGAUAAUUUGGUUAUUCAUAAGACUUUCAUGAUGUAUAUACCUUAAACAUUUAGCGUAUUAGAAUUGAGUUCAUUCAUUUCUGUCUUCUGCCUUUAUGUUGGCAAGACUGUCCAGGUGAUGGUACAAAAUCACAAUGUUCAUAUGUCCUACCUUUUCUUUUUUGCUUCACUUGCUUGAACGCUGAUGACUGCCUUUCUUCCGUGAUUUGAGUCGAUUUAGGUGGUUCAACACAUAAUUGAUGUUAUUAAGACAUGGGUAGAAUCUGUUUUAGUCAUUUCCAUCAAUAGAAAAGAGGGCCCUGCAAAUGUUUAUGCAGAUCAUUGGGAGCUUAAUUUAUUCGUAUUUAUG